rnacentral:rRNA from 1 species
UAACCUGCCCAAGAGAUCGGGAUAACACCUGGAAACAGAUGCUAAUACCGGAUAACAACAGAUGAUGCCUAUCAACUGUUUAAAAGAAUGGUUCUGCUAUCACUCUUGGAUGGACCUGCGGUGCAUUAGCUAGUUGGUAGGGUAACGGCCUACCAAGGCGAUGAUGCAUAGCCGAGUUGAGAGACUGAUCGGCCACAUUGGGACUGAGACACGGCCCAAACUCCUACGGGAGGCAGCAGCC